rnacentral:tRNA from 1 species
CGGGGUAUGGCGCAGUUUGGUAGCGCGCUUGCAUGGGGUGCAAGAGGUCCCCGGUUCAAGUCCGGGUACCCCGAC